GACGAACGCUGGCGGCGUGCUUAACACAUGCAAGUCGAACGGAAAGGUCCUGCUUUUGUGGGGUGCUCGAGUGGCGAACGGGUAAGUUACCCGUGAGUAACCUGUACCUGACCUUGGGAUAACUUAAGGAAACUGGAGCUAAUACCGGAAAGGAGUUACCGCUGCAUGGUGGGGGCUGGAAAGUUUCGGCGGUUGGGGAUGGACUCGCGGCUCAUCAGCUUGUUGGGGGGGUAGUGGCUUACCAAGGCAUUGACGGGUAGCCGGCCUGCGCGGGUGACCGGCCACAUUGGAACUGAGAUACGACCCAGACUCCUACGGGAGGCAGCGGUGGAGAGUGGUGUACUAUGGGCGGAAGCCUAAUGCAGCAACGCCGCGUGCGGGGAGUCAUGCUUCGGUUUGUGUUCCGAAGUCGCCUUUGACGAAGCGAGAGUGACAGUAAUGGGUAAAUAAGCACCGGCUAACUACGUG
rnacentral:rRNA from 1 species